UACGAGGGGGGCAAGCGUUGUUCGGAAUUAUUGGGCGUAAAGGGCGCGUAGGCGGUGCGGUAAGUCUGAUGUGAAAUCUCACAGCUUAACUGUGAAACUGCAUUGGAUACUAUCCGGCUCGAGGAAUGGAGGGGAGACUGGAAUACUUGGUGUAGCAGUGAAAUGCGUAGAUAUCAAGUGGAACACCAGUGGCGAAGGCGAGUCUCUGGACAUUUCCUGACGCUGAGGCACGAAAGCCAGGGGAGCAAACGGG
rnacentral:rRNA from 1 species